rnacentral:rRNA from 1 species
UGCAGAAUCCCGUGAACCAUCGAGUUUUUGAACGCAAGUUGCGCCCGAGGCCAUCUGGUUGAGGGCACGUCUGCCUGGGCGUCACGC